rnacentral:rRNA from 1 species
AAGUCGUAACAAGGUUUCCGUAGGUGAACCUGCGGAAGGAUCAUUACCUAGAGUUUGUAGACUUCGGUCUGCUACCUCUUACCCAUGUCUUUUGAGUACCUUCGUUUCCUCGGCGGGUCCGCCCGCCGAUUGGACAACAUUCAAACCCUUUGCAGUUGCAAUCAGCGUCUGAAAAAACUUAAUAGUUACAACUUUCAACAACGGAUCUCUUGGUUCUGGCAUCGAUGAAGAACGCAGCGAAAUGCGAUAAGUAGUGUGAAUUGCAGAAUUCAGUGAAUCAUCGAAUCUUUGAACGCACAUUGCGCCCCUUGGUAUUCCAUGGGGCAUGCCUGUUCGAGCGUCAUUUGUACCUUCAAGCUCUGCUUGGUGUUGGGUGUUUGUCUCGCCUCUGCGUGUAGACUCGCCUCAAAACAAUUGGCAGCCGGCGUAUUGAUUUCGGAGCGCAGUACAUCUCGCGCUUUGCACUCAUAACGACGACGUCCAAAAGUACAUUUUUACACUCUUGACCUCGGAUCAGGUAGGGAUACCCGCUGAACUUA